UACGUAGGGUGCAAGCGUUGUCCGGAAUUAUUGGGCGUAAUGAGCUCGUAGGCGGUCUGUCGCGUCGGCUGUGAAAACUCGGGGCUCAACCCCGAGCCUGCAGUCGAUACGGGCAGACUAGAGUGCUGUAGGGGAGACUGGAAUUCCUGGUGUAGCGGUGAAAUGCGCAGAUAUCGGGAGGAACACCGGUGGCGAAGGCGGUUCUCUGGGCCUUACCUGACGCUGAGGAGCGAAAGCGUGGGGAGCGAACAGG
rnacentral:rRNA from 1 species